rnacentral:rRNA from 1 species
CCUACGGGAGGCAGCAGUGGGGAAUAUUGCACAAUGGGGGAAACCCUGAUCCAGCGACGCCGCGUGAGUGAAGAAGUAUUUCGUUAUGUAAAGCUCUAUCAGCAGGGAAGAAAAUGACGGUACCUGAGUAAGAAGCCCCGGCUAACUACGUGCCAGCAGCCGCGGUAAUCCGUAGGGGGCAAGCGUUAUCCGGAUUUACUGGGUGUAAAGGGAGCGUAGACGGCAGGGCAAGUCUGGAGUGAAAGGCGGGGGCCCAACCCCCGGACUGCUCUGGAAACUGUGCGGCUGGAGUGCAGGAGAGGUAAGUGGAAUGCCUGGUGUAGCGGUGAAAUGCGUAGAUAUCAGGAGGAACACCGGUGGCGAAGGCGGCUUACUGGACUGUAACUGACGUUGAGGCUCGAAAGCGUGGGGAGCAAACAGGAUUAGAUACCCGUGUAGUC